rnacentral:rRNA from 1 species
GACGAACGCUGGCGGCGUGCUUAACACAUGCAAGUCGAACGGAAAGGCCCUGCUUUUGUGGGGUGCUCGAGUGGCGAACGGGUGAGUAACACGUGAGUAACCUGCCCUUGACUUUGGGAUAACUUCAGGAAACUGGGGCUAAUACCGGAUAGGAGCUCCUGCUGCAUGGUGGGGGUUGGAAAGUUUCGGCGGUUGGGGAUGGACUCGCGGCUUAUCAGCUUGUUGGUGGGGUAGUGGCUUACCAAGGCUUUGACGGGUAGCCGGCCUGAGAGGGUGACCAGGCACAUUGGGACUGAGAUACGGCCCAGACUCGUACGGGAGACAGCAGUGGGGAAUAUUGCACAAUGGGGGGAAGCCUGAUGAAGCAGCGCCGCGUGCGGGAUGACGGCCUGCGGGUUGUAAACCGCUUUCGCCUGUGACGAAGCGUGAGUGACGGUAAUGGGUAAAGAAGCACCGGCUAACUACGUG